UGGCGGACGGGUGAGUAACGCGUGGGCAACCUGCCUUACACAGGGGGACAACAGCCGGAAACGGCUGCUAAUACCGCAUAAGCGCACAGUUUCGCAUGGGACAGUGUGAAAAACUCCGGUGGUGUAAGAUGGGCCCGCGUCUGAUUAGCUUGUUGGCGGGGUAACGGCCCACCAAGGCAACGAUCAGUAGCCGACCUGAGAGGGUGACCGGCCACAUUGGGACUGAGACACGGCCCAAACUCCUACGGGAGGCAGCAG
rnacentral:rRNA from 1 species